rnacentral:misc_RNA from 1 species
AAUCUUCAAAACCCUUUUCUUUGAUCCAUUUUGGUCGGGAAAAGGAUUUUUGGACUUGGAGGUCCAAUGCUCGCCCUUUCUUUUGAAAGCGAGCUCCUCUCAAAUGAAUCAGUGGGGUCCGCUUUGCUGAUCCUUGACGUGAUAAGAUGUUUCUACGUUUUGGGUUUAGCACUGUCCCUUGGACACCUGCUCCUAACCGUCUUAUGGACAAUGAUGGUGCUUCGGUCACCGCCGUCUACAUCGGCGGGAGGCUGGACCCACAAAAAGAAAA